rnacentral:misc_RNA from 1 species
GAUGAAGAACGCAGCGAAAUGCGAUAAGUAAUGUGAAUUGCAGAAUUCAGUGAAUCAUCGAAUCUUUGAACGCACAUUGCGCCCCUUGGUAUUCCGAGGGGCAUGCCUGUUCGAGCGUCAUUAUAACCCCUCAAGCUCAGCUUGGUGUUGGGGCCUGCUGCACUGGCAGCCCUUAAAAUCAGUGGCGGCGCCAUCUGGCUCUAAGCGUAGUAAUUCUUCUCGCUAUGGAGUCCUGGUGGAUGCUUGCCAUCAACCCCCAACUUUCUAUGGUUGACCUCGGAUCAGGUAGGGAUACCCGCUGAACUUAAGCAUAUCAAUAAGCGGAGGA